UGGGUUGUACCAGAAGUAGAUAGCUUAACCUUCGGGAGGGCGUUUACCACGGUAUGAUUCAUGACUGGGGUGAAGUCGUAACAAGGUAACCGUAGGGGAACCUGCGGUUGGAUCACCUCCUUACCU
rnacentral:rRNA from 1 species